rnacentral:rRNA from 1 species
AACAAACGCUGGCGGCGUGCCUAACACAUGCAAGUCGUACGAGAAAGUCGGCUUCGGCCGAUGAGUACAGUGGCGCACGGGUGAGUAGCGCGUGGGUAAUCUGCCCCCCGGUCAGGAAUAACCCGCCGAAAGGCGGGCUAAUACCCGAUAACACUGACGCUCCGCGGAGCGUCUUUCAAAGAAGGCCUCUGUUUACAAGCUUUCGCCGGAGGAUGAGCCCGCGUACCAUUAGCUAGUUGGCAGGGUAAUGGCCUACCAAGGCUACGAUGGUUAGCUGGUCUGAGAGGAUGGCCAGCCACACUGGAACUGAGACACGGUCCAGACUCCUACGGGAGGCAGCAGUGAGGAAUCUUGCGCAAUGGGGGAAACCCUGACGCAGCAACGCCGCGUGAGUGAGGAAGGCCUUCGGGUCGUAAGACUCUGUCUACGAUAGGGUAAGGAAAAUGGGAAUGGGGGUACGUAAAGUAGUUACGCCCGAACUCCUUCGGUACGGUAACCCGAGUACCGAACGUAGGAAGGACCGACCGGACCGUAAACCG